rnacentral:tRNA from 1 species
CUGGGUGUAGCUCAGUGGUACAGCAUUCGCCUAUCAAGUGUUGAGGCCCUGGGUUCACUCCCCAGCACCAAGA